rnacentral:lncRNA from 1 species
UGUCUAUUUCUCUUACAUUCUAUUGGAAUGUGAGGUUGAUGGAAUACGACCUUUAUUCAUUUCCCUAUCUCAAUAACCUAGAAUAAUUCCUGACACAUGGAGGCGAUCAAGAAAUAUUUUUAAUUAAUUAAUAACUAAGUGAAUGCAGCCAUUGAACUAGAAACUGAAAACAAUUCAAUUGUCCAGUUCUUCUUUUAUUCCAAGGAUGACUUCCUCUAGAUGCAAGAGCAGACGCAGUUGAGGAUUCCAUGUUCAUCUGGCUGAGUGGAGUCAACCAGCAUGUUAGAGGAGCUGAAACUUUCUUGGUUACUGUCAAGUGGGAAAAUUCUCAGUGCUAAAAUAAUUUCCAGGUCCAAUCAAAACAAGCUUCCCCUCAAAAAACUGUCGAAAAUCUCAACAUGCAAUAGAUGUGUUAUGGACUUAUAAAAAUGGAGCCUGAUACUCCCCAGAGUCCUUUCCUGAUGAGGCUUCUGGAGGCACAGGAUUCCCUGAGAUGGAUUUUCCCAGAGGGAAUCUGGAGAAAGGUUUCAAGACAGAUUUUCCUUUGUGAGUGAAUGCCCUGGCAGAGGUGGGGGAGUGAACAGGCAGAUCCACCCAGGAUUUCAGAGCUCUGGGCGUUAGGCUACCUUAUCUCAGCUGGGCUGACUUCUCGCCAACAUCCUCAGUGCCAACCGCUCCUGUAGGUAAAACAAGACUGGCCACUCAGAGUUUAACAUCCUCGAGCUACUGUGAUAAGUUCAAGAAAGGCCACAAGAUCUGAGCUGGACCAAAUAGGGCAAAUGGGAUCCCAUCUUGGAAUCUGUUGGAGCUAUCAGGGGAAAAACAUUUUUUUUUUCUUUUGUAGUAUUCAAGAAGAUGGGACAUAAGCUUAGAGCUCCUGACGUCUUGUCACCAGGAAGGGAGAAGUUAACUAAGAGCUCAGCCACUCUAGAGGAAAGCAGAGAAAUUGAUGCAAGGGUCCUAAUGACAUUGUUUGAGCUCCUGGAUACAACCGUGUUUGAAGUCUCGUAUAUCCAUGAACUUUGCAGUUGUGUGAACCAAUCUAUUUCUUUUUGGCUCUUGCUCAAGUCAAUUGUUCGCAGACAUUUCUGUGCAUCAAAUCACCUGAGGAGCUUGUUAAAAUGUAGAUUUCUAUGCCCCACCUUCAGGUGGAUCUAUGGUGGGAACCAAAACCUUGCAUUUCAAAUAAUUUUCUAGGAGAUGCUGUGGCUGCUGGUCCAGGGGCCAUACUUUGAGAACCAUUGGCUUAGGAGCCUUUUUUGGUUUCUGCUGCUGAUAACCCAAACUGUCUUGAUUGACAUCAGAAGAUCUUUUCUAAAUGGAAAAAGAAUCCGAUGCGUAGAAGAAUUAAUAGAAUGAGAUAAAAUAAUGUGUUUGGGAACUAGUCAAUAAGCACUUGAAAAAGGACAUGGCCAUCCCUCAUGACUGCUUUGGACCAAACCAACAUUUUGUAAGGUGGUUUUCCACUGUCCAUAUGGCUAAAGGCAAGGCCGUUCGAGUUUAUGACAAAUGAGCAAAAACAGCAGGACUAAUACAUGUUUUGUCGAAGACUUAAAACCCGUGCAUUGAGAAAAUGCACAUUUUUCGCUCUGAUCCAGUCUGUCAACAAAAUGCUUUUCAUGAGAAACAUCAAAGCCAUUUCAUCUGCAAGUUUCAUUUUUUUGAAUCCCUUAAUCUACACUGUUGACAAAAAUUUCUGUCAAGUGCCUCAAACCAUUGUAUUAACAAAUUUUAUUUUGUCAGUCAUGAUUUAGCCCCCUUGCAAAGACGGUUUGUAAUAUUCCGCUCCAUCCUGCAGGAGGAAUACUUAACUGUUAAUGCCUCAAUCUUAAUAUUGAAAGCAACUGAAGAGAGAAAGUAAAAGUGGUGUGCUCAUUUAGCACAUCUGUUGGAUGUCCA